rnacentral:rRNA from 1 species
GACGAACGCUGGCGGCACGCUUAACACAUGCAAGUCGAACGAGAGAAGAGAAGCUUGCUUUUCUGAUCUAGUGGCGGACGGGUGAGUAACACGUGAGCAAUCUGCCUUUCAGAGGGGGAUACCGAUUGGAAACGAUCGUUAAUACCGCAUAACAUAAUUGAACCGCAUGAUUUGAUUAUCAAAGAUUUAUCGCUGAAAGAUGAGCUCGCGUCUGAUUAGCUAGUUGGUAAGGUAACGGCUUACCAAGGCGACGAUCAGUAGCCGGACUGAGAGGUUGAUCGGCCACAUUGGGACUGAGACACGGCCCAGACUCCUACGGGAGGCAGCAGUGGGGAAUAUUGCACAAUGGAGGAAACUCUGAUGCAGCGAUGCCGCGUGAGGGAAGAAGGUUUUAGGAUUGUAAACCUUUGUCUUCAGGGACGAAAAAAGACGGUACCUGAGGAGGAAGCUCCGGCUAACUACGUG